AGGAAUUUGUGUGGGUAAGGAUGCUUCCCUUUUUCUUUCAGUUGUAUGAUGGCAUCACUUCGAAUCUGAUGGUAUUGCUGGGGCCCCCAUGCCAGUUCAGCUGCUGCUUUUAUCCCCU